rnacentral:rRNA from 1 species
UACGUAGGGUGCAAGCGUUGUCCGGAUUUAUUGGGCGUAAAGAGCUCGUAGGCGGUUUGUCGCGUCGGAUGUGAAAACCCAGGGCUCAACCCUGGGCCUGCAUUCGAUACGGGCAGACUAGAGUAUGGCAGGGGAGACUGGAAUUCCUGGUGUAGCGGUGAAAUGCGCAGAUAUCAGGAGGAACACCGAUGGCGAAGGCAGGUCUCUGGGCCACUACUGACGCUGAGAAGCGAAAGCAUGGGGAGCGAACAGG